CACAGCUUUUUGAGAACAAGGACCUUAUUGGCCUCUCUGGCACAAGCAAGCUGCCCAAGGAAUGUGGGCCACCAUCUCCAUAGCUGCUUUCUGAACUGGGGAUUGAGAGGUGGCGAUCACAGGGCACGCCCUAAGAAACCUGCACACUAACCUCCCUCUCAGACACUGCUUCUGGAGAGCCCAACCUGUGACCGCUGGGUCAGGAGGGGUCUGAGGAAGAAGAUGCUAAGAUGGGAUUCUGGCUCUGGAUCACCCACUGCCUAGCUGCUGAUAAGGAUCCUUUUGCUGGGGGUAGAUGGAGCGGGUACAUGCCCCCGCACAGAGCAGAGUGCCACCUGCCCAGAACCGCUCCACGGUCCAUGGAGAUCGGUUUACUUCUCUUUUCGCCUGCUUCCGCAGCCAAGACUCAACUCCCUCCCAUCCAUGAGUUCUCUUGGAGUAUCUUUGUGUAAACAAGGUCUCAGUAACUAAAUCCUGUUUCCAUC
ensembl:lncRNA novel transcript